ensembl:miRNA microRNA 33b
CGGCCCUCGCGGGGGUGCAUUGUAGUUGCAUUGCAUGUGUCAGACUGGGAGUGCAAUGCCCCUGCCAUGCAGCCCGGCGGGGGUCCC